rnacentral:rRNA from 1 species
UGUAGGUGGUUUGUUAAGUCAGAUGUGAAAGCCCAGGGCUCAACCUUGGAACUGCAUUUGAUACUGGCAAACUAGAGUACGGUAGAGGAAUGGGGAAUUUCUGGUGUAGCGGUGAAAUGCGUAGAGAUCAGAAGGAACACCAAUGGCGAAGGCAACAUUCUGGACCGAUACUGACACUGAGGGACGAAAGCGUGGGGAUCAAACAGGAUUAGAUACCCUGGUAGUCCACGCUGUAAACGAUGAGUACUAGCUGUUGGAGUCGGUGUAAAGGCUCUAGUGGCGCAGCUAACGCGAUAAGUACUCCGCCUGGGGACUACGGCCGCAAGGCUAAAACUCAAAGGAAUUGAC